rnacentral:rRNA from 1 species
UACAGAGGUCCCAAGCGUUGCUCGGAUUGACUGGGCGUAAAGGGCGCGUAGGCGGUUCGUACAGUCAGACGUGAAAUUCCUGGGCUCAACCUGGGGGCUGCGUUUGAUACGUGCGGACUUGAGUGCGGAAGAGGGUCGUGGAAUUCCCAGUGUAGAGGUGAAAUUCGUAGAUAUUGGGAAGAACACCGGUGGCGAAGGCGGCGACCUGGUCCGAUACUGACGCUGAGGCGCGAAAGCGUGGGGAGCAAACAGG